rnacentral:rRNA from 1 species
AUUGAAAGCUGGCGGCAGGACUAACACAUGCAAGUCGAGCGAGCGGCGGCCGGGUGAGUAAUGUCUGGGAAACUGCCUGAUGGAGGGGGCUAACUACUGUAAACGGUAGCUAAUACCGCAUACCAUCAGAUGUGCCCAGAUGGGAGUAGCUAGUAGGGGGGGUAAUGGCUCACCUAGGCGACGAUCCCUACCUGGUCUGAGAGGAUGACCAGCCAAACUGGAACUGAGACACGGUCCAGACUCCUACGGGAGGCAGCAGUGGGGAAUAUUGCACAAUGGGCGCAAGCCUGAUGCAGCCAUGCCGCGUGUGUGAAGAAGGCCUUCGGGUGGUAAAGCACUUUCAGCGAGGAGGCGUUACUCGCAGAAGAAGCACCGGCUAACUCCGUGCCAGCCGCCGCGGUAAUUC